UUAAAUGGCUGUAAUUUACAAAUUUUCCUAAAAUUAUUUUCAGUUAAGUAAAAAUAUACUGUAAUUUAAAUUCAACAAAAAUAAUUUUAGUUCCUCGAAAUUAAAACGGUGAAAUGAACGGGCCUGGAAUUCCGAUAUCUGCAAAAUUUCCAUUUUGUUUCUUUCUCUCCUCUCUGUUUUCACCGAAAAACAACCUUAACCAGUCGCCGGUCACCAUCUUCUCCUGCGCCGCUGUGAUAACCGGCAACCUCCAGUUGCCCGCAUUUUUCACCGGCUACAUUGCACCCGGCAAUAGUACAAUUUUAGCUAUGAACAACACUGUGCUGCUUCUUCAGUUACGCCUUAAAGCUACCGUCCAAAUUUGGAGGAGAUGAGCACAGCAGAGAGCCACAAAUUUUCAAGACAUCAACUGUUGAAGAUGAUCAGCCUAUUGAACCUAUCUCAGAUAUUGGCAUCAACCAAAUAAAUGAGCUUAUGUUUAUAGAUUUGAAGUGACAAAUGUUUAUGUUGACAUAUGUGGACUAAAUGUUGAAAAUAUCUGGUACAGAAGGCCUUGAAUAAUUCCUUCAAUGAUGUGAGCACGCUUUCCCCAGUCAAGCUGCAAACUUUUCACAGGAUCUGUAAUGAUUUAAAAGACACAGAGGAAUCUAUAAGCUGUCAGAACAUUAUGUCUAUGU